UUACCUCCCCAACUCUCCUCCGGCUAUGCCAAUGAGGUGGGGGAGGCCUUCCGUGCCCUGGCGCCAGUGAGCGCUGUAUGGGCCACACGUGCGGUUGCCACCGUGUAUGUUUCCGCUGAUGAUUUGGACAAGGGGAAGAAGGCUGCUGUGGAGCAUGGUGACAACCCAGGGAAGAGAACCAAGGUAGCUGCAGCGGUGGUGGACACGUUUUGUAUGGCAGGCCCUGGCUUCGGUCGCUAUCCCAUGCUAUCCCAUCUCUCUACCUCCUAGGAAGAACCACGCACCUGCCCCUCUCCGUACGCAAGUGGACCACCAUGGCCAUCGGCCUCUCCACCAUUCCCUUCAUCAUCCACCCUAUCGACAGGGGAGUGGACUUCCUACUGGACUCCAGCCUGCGUACGGUCAGUCUAUAGGAAAGAAGUACGACUAAAAGGACCACAUCCAUCCUGUAGCCAGCUGUAGCCAGCUUGAAGCCUCUGCUGAUCACUCUACUAACGUCACUGUGAAGCCAACACAGCAGGGUUACUCAACUCCAGUCCUCCAGAGUCCACAGUUGUCUAUGCCCCUCUCUUUCAACCCUAUUGUCAUCUUUUUAUUUUCAACUCCCACGUUAGGGGGACUUAGGACUCCUCGGCCCGUCAAUUACAUUGUAUCAGGGAGAAUAGAGAUCCAGUAGACAGUGUUGCCCUCCAGGACUGGAGUUGAAUACCCCUAGCUGCUACUGGCCUGCAGUGCACACCUGUUCAUGUUCAGACCUCCACUUGGCGUGUAUCCAGGUAGCUCUUGCUGUUAGCCAUAUUCAGGAAACAUUCGGGUCAGUGUCAUCAUACCUGGCAUUGAGAACCUAUUUUCAUUACAAGUAAACAUUUAUCUUAGUUUUUUUGUUUAUUACAGAAAGAAUGACAAUGCACAGUUGUCUGUCACUUUGAAUAAAGCUUGACAGAGUAUAGUGUGAUGCACUUUUCAAUGUUCAGUCUUGAGAUUAACCUCAGAGCUUUUUUGCCCCUUGCCAUUCAACACUGAGUUGAACAGAAUAUAUGUUAAGUUUUUGUUAGCAGUAAUGAUUCAGUUCCUUUGGUGACAUUUUAGGUAUAGAAAGUAUUGUAAUAAUUGUGUAACAUGGCCUAUGCAGAAAGCGUAUGAAACGAUUAUGCAUAAAAUACAUAUCAUUAUUGCCAAGGCUACCCAUCAGUAUACAUUGCUGUGCUGCACUAUGCAACAAAACCAAGUCAUUUUACACAAAAAUGGGAAUUGCGAUUGGAAUGUGUAAGUGAAUGUGACAUACUGGGAAAUGUUGCCAAUUGUUCAUACACCAGAACUAACAUUCAGCAACAAUUGUUAUUUAAAUGUUGUUAUAAGUCAAUUCCUGUGUUUGUUAUAUAAUGUUUAAUUCUUAGUGAAUGUGAAAAAGCCAAAGGCAACAAAACUCGACAGCUUUGUGAUAGUUUGUGAACAUUUCCUCUUUCAGAUCAUUUGUCCACAUCGUCACAAAAUCAAAUGUCAUACUGUAUUUCAAUGUCUUUUUUUAACAGAUUUAUUUUCAUGCUGGAAACAUAAGGGAAUGUUUAACUGUUGUUUCCACAACAUUUUCCUCAAAGAUUUAACACUUGUAAGAGACACUUAUUUUAUAACAUGCUUUAUUUCCAAUGUUUUAGCCUUAAUAUUCAAAUAUGUUUUCAAACCAGCUACUGAAAUCAUUUGACAUUUUCUUUAGUAUGAAAAAAGUUCAAACACAUUUUAUCAUUGAAACUGAAAGAUAUACUGUAAUGUGCCAUUACCUAGUUUGAAACUGUUUUAAAAUAUACUCUAGAAAAACAACAUAUCCUAUAUUGUAUAAAUCAAUAAUGUUGCCUUAUUUCUUUCCUCAAGCAUUGGUAUGUGCAAACAAUGUUCUACAUAUUUUAACAGUUUAUAAGCGAGAAUAAGAAUCUUUGUUUUAAUGAAUGGGCAACCCUUCAUACACAGCCAAAACAUUCUUGCAGAGAGUAAUUUAACUUUCAAAAAUCCAUAUCACAGUUUAACAUUCCUUUUAUGCUGCAGUGUCAGAAAAAAUUGAGUAACUAUGGAUGUGUUAUGACAACACACUUACUGGCAACAAGUAGCACAGAACUGUCACAGUAGCAUUCCUCUGGGGAAUUAUGAUUGAUAACUCUUGCCAAGAGAUAUUGUUCAGUGUUUGAUGUUAGUCACUAAGGUCUAACAUGUUGGACAAAUGUCUGCAUUCAUUUGAAACGACUUUGGGUGCAUUUAGAAAAAAAUGUGUGGUCAAUGGAGAAUGAUAGAGGCCUCUAGUGGCCAAAAGGCCAUACUAGCAGGGGCGUGCCAUUGAGGGCUUCCUUGAUGUUAAUAUAGUCAACUGGGUGGGACUUCCAAUUUCAUUGGCUGAUCCCACCUGGUGGCCCUGUUGGAGUCAUGUCCAACCUGCUCAUCAGGAGGGAUCAGCCAGUCUUGAAGAAGAAAAUGUACUACUUCAAAAUGGAGGUAGCCUCAAUGGAACAUAUACAAAGAUACAGAGUUCUCUAUCUCUGUGGUGCAGUCACCUCUUUCAUUCCCUGCAGAUUGUACUGCAACAAUGCAACACAACAUAGAUUAACCAAUAAAAUGCCUAGAGUGCCACUGUCAAAACCAAUCAAAUCAAAGAGCUCAAUGAGUUCAACUAGUGUUAGUAAUUCGUCCUGAUUGAGUAAGCGUUCCACAGCUGACAGCACUUGUUUUAAUUAACUGCAUUAGCUACUCACAUAAAAAGUCCAGGUGGCCUGAGUGCAGGAAUAUAGUCAGAAUGAUGUUCUUUAUCAACAGUGCUCUGUUUUUGAUGCUUGUGGCCACAACUGUGGCCCAAACAGGAGUUCCACAAUUAAGGUACAGUGUAGACCAGUGGACCAUCUCUGUGGAGAUUCCACAAACGUAUGACUCGGAUGAGCUGCAGCCGUAUGACUCGGAUGAGCUGCAGCCGUAUGACUCGGAUGAGCUGCAGCCGUAUGACUCGGAUGAGCUGCAGCCGUAUGACUCGGAUGAGCUGCAGCCGUAUGACUCGGUUGAGCUGCAGCCGUAUGACUCGGAUGAGACUCCUGGUGUAGAGGAACAAGGUCAACUGACGGUGUGUCCAGUCUGGCUCUUGUUACUGGUGGUCCCUCUAGUGUUGCUGACUGCUAUGGGAGCUUUGUCUGUGGGCUACUACAUGUGUGUGUGGAGGGGUGGUAGAAUAGGCUACUGGCCCAGCAGAGACCUAUUAACAAAAUGUUAACAAGUUUGCUUUCUGUUCUGAUUGGUUUGACAAUAAAUGAUUGCAUAAAUGUUUC